rnacentral:rRNA from 1 species
GUGAGGAAUAUUGGUCAAUGGGCGAGAGCCUGAACCAGCCAAAUCGCGUGAAGGAUGAAGGUAUUAUGUAUUGUAAACUUCUUUUAUCGGGGAAUAAAGUGCGGGACGUGUCCCGUUUUGUAUGUACCCGAAGAAUAAGGAUCGGCUAACUCCGUGCCAGCAGCCGCGGUAAUACGGAGGAUCCAAGCGUUAUCCGGAUUUAUUGGGUUUAAAGGGUGCGUAGGCGCACUGUCAAGUCAGCGGUGAAAGUCCAUGGCUCAACCAUGGAAUUGCCGUUGAAACUGUCGGUCUUGAGUGUAGAUGAGGUAGGCGGAAUUCGUAGUGUAGCGGUGAAAUGCUUAGAUAUUACGAAGAACUCCAAUUGCGUAGGCAGCUUACCAGGCUACAACUGACGCUGAGGCACGAAGGUGCGGGGAUCAAACAGGAUUAGAUACCCUAGUAGUCC